CCAGCUCCAAGAGUGUAUAUUAAAGUUGUUGCAGUUAAAAAGCUCGUAGUUGGAUUUCGGAAGGUCCUUAGYAAUCCGCCCCUUCGGGGAGCGGGUUGCUGGCCUCCUAUGUUCCUAACGGYCCUCAUCCGCGAGGGYGGGGAAUCAACCGCUAGGAUCGUUUACUUUGAGGAAAUUAGAGUGUUCAAAGCAGGCGUAACUCGCCUCCGAAUACGUUAGCAUGGGAUAAUGGAAUACGACUUCGGUCUUGUUUCGUUGGUUUCGCUUGGCUGAAGUAAUGAUUGAUAGGGACAGUUGGGGGCAUUAGUAUUUAGUUGUCAGAGGUGAAAUUCUAGGAUUUACUAAAGACUGACCAAUGCGAAAGCAUUUGCCAAGGAUGUUUUCAUUAAUCAAGAACGAAAGUAGGGGGAUCGAAGACGAUCAGAUACCGUCGUAGUCUCUACCGUAAACUAUGCCGACCAGGGAUCCGGAGAGUUUGCAUGGAUGACUCCCCGGGCACCUCUGUGAGAAAUCAUAAUGUGUUUGGGUUUUGGGGGGAGUAUGGUCGCAAGGCUGAAACUUAAAGGAAUUGACGGAAGGGCACCACCAGGAGUGGAACCUGCGGCUUAAUUCGACUCAAC
rnacentral:rRNA from 1 species